CCCGCACCGAACACAACCCAAUCCCCUCGUCCCGCACACCGUGUACACUCCGGUCCCCUCAUCCCGCACGAACCCUAGGAGAGAGAGAGAUAGGAAGAUGAGAGGGAGAGAAAGGGGAGAGGAGAGGAGAGGGAGGUCCGGCAGUGUUUGCCUCCCGGACCAGCCGCCGUGGGUUUCCACGGGGAAGGAGCAGCGACGGGGGUAGGCCCCAGGUGGAGCACACUUCAUGGGGAGGCAAGGAACUAGGAGGUGAUGGGGUCGGAUCUGGUGGUGCUAGGUCGGAGCGCCUCCUCUCCUCUCCCCAGCCGCCACCGGCCACCUCCCAGCCCUCCUCCUCCGCCUCGUCGCCUCGCCACCUUGAGCUUGCAGCGAGCGCUCUGCUCUGGCGGCGGCGGUGGCCUCUUGUGGCGGAGCAGGAGGGGGCCUCUUGUGGCGGAGCAGGAGGGGGAAGACGGUGGCAGCGCGCCCUCUGGUGGCGGAGGAGGAGGAGGAGGGAGAUGGUGGCGGCUGCGCUUGUUCAGGGGCUCGCUCAAGGUGCUCGAGCCCGACAUCCAGCACGCCAACAACCUCGCCGCCCCGUGCCUCUUCCUCUUCCUCCUGCAGCGGACCGACUGCAGCCUCGCCGGCGCCCUCGGCCUCCUCAGGAUCCCCAUCUACAAGGCUACUCCCCCAAUGGUGAAAAUCCCCUACAGAAUGGUGCUGGAUGUCCUUUUAGAAUCUUUGGGCCUGCCAGCGGCUGAGUAUCGAACCAAAGCAUGCGAGGGUGGUUUGAAGUGUUCGCUCAAUUCAUGUGCUUGGGAUUUGUUUCGAUUGAUGGACCUCAAAGCUGAUGCAAUAAUGCAUGAACUUGCCAAAAGGAGGUUUAGCAGGUCUGACUUAUGGUCUAAGUUGAUGGUGUUUAGCAAUAUUGGUUCGAUCCAUGCAGAGGUCCUCGCCGUCGUUGCAGUGGCGGGACAAGACGGCGAGGAGCCUCCUCCUCCUCGCGGCGGCUGGCUGUUAAAUCUUUCGUUUUGUUUUCAUUUUGCCAAAGGUUGGACUGGUAUUUGUUUGGUUUCAUGAUGGAAUAAUAUUGCGAGUCAAAUGUGACAUGCAUGAUUGUUUAGCAUUGGAACCAAAUUUCAUGGGGUGAUUGGAUAAAGUUCUGUACUGAUAGUCCGAAACUUUGUGGUCGCCCAGGCUAUGCAGCCUUUAAUCAUAUUUAACAUCGUCAUGGUCUCUGGACAAACAAGCUUGAGGAGGCCAUUGUUUGGUGCAGCCCACGAUGACAACUACACCAUUGACCACUGAAGCAAGGUCCUUAUAUGGUCACUGAAGAAACGCGUUGUCAUAUUUUUUCCGACGGAAUGGCACUUUUCUUGAAUCUAUGCCAGUGUCUAUUGUAAUUUAAUAUCAUCCCUAGGACAAACAUGAUUCUUUGUUGCCGUUCUUUAUCUCUAUUGUUGAAUCCAAAUUACUAAUGUGACAUGAUAACAUAUAUGAUGCGGUGGACAGUAUUGCUAAGAAGUGCACGGACACAGUGCUUUAUCA